rnacentral:misc_RNA from 1 species
GAGAUCUUUUAUCCUCUUCUUUCCAUAAAAGCCUACACCGGUUCACCUUGCCCAUUUGGCUCUCCGCAUACGAUGUCGGUCUAGAAUCCCUCCUUAUGAAGAAAACUGGAAACCUCCCCUGAGCCUCUCCUCCUUUGCUGGCCGCCUUACACUCACACGCUAUCUUUCUCUAUAAAACAUACUUCCUGGAUUUGUAAACCCAAAUAUUGUAAUACCCUGUUAGUCAUCCGAAAGAAAAGGCUUCAGGGCUUCACAGAGGGGAAAGAAAAAUGAGUUAUUACAACCAGCAGCAGCAGCCUCCCGUGGGUGUUCCUCCGCCACAAGGGUAUCCAAAAGAUGCAUAUCC